rnacentral:lncRNA from 1 species
GGGAGGCGGCGGGCGGGAGCGCAGGUCUGGCCGGCCCUGGCGAUGGCGGACGCGGCGGCCUCCCCGGUGGGCAAGCGGCUGCUGCUUCUGUUCGCGGACACCGCGGCCUCAGCUUCAGCCUCGGCCCCCGCGGCGGCGGUGGCGAGCGGAGAUCCGGGGCCUGCGCUGCGCACUCGGGCCUGGCGGGCCGGCACGGUGCGGGCCAUGAGCGGGGCGGUGCCCCAGGACCUAGCGGUGAGUGGCGGUCGAGACGUGCACUCGAGGCCGGGGCUGCAGGGCCUGUGGGCGGCCUCCCCGGGGGCCUUUGUGAGGGGGCGGUGUGGUGGGGGUGACCCAGUUCCUCACCCCCGGAUCUCCUUAGCGCCCCCCGCCGGCACUUCGGCACCCCGAGCUCUGGCCUGCAUGGCUUCCGCGUCGGGGUGCGCGCCCCAGUUAACCCCCGGAGGGCGGCCUGGGUGCCAGGAGCUGCUGCUUUUAGCCGGCAGGCCCCGCCUCCUGAGCGACCCUUUGCUAGGCGUCCCCUCCCCGCACCCCCCCUCCCGCAACACGCCUUCCGAGCAGGCUUUCGAACCUUGGUGCCGGGGCCCCGCAGAGUUCGGCCGGUGCUGCCGCUUUCCCCUAGAAAACGCGGACCUGUAAUCCCCAGGUUCUCCCCGGAGACCUGCGCCCUGUUCCCUUCCUCCCGGAGUCUCUAGUGGGGCGAGAAUGUGGGCAGUUGUAGGAAGGCAGUUGGAGCUGCUUGGGGCUUUUUUAUCUGGCAGUUACUUCCUCCUUGUCUGAGCCGUGCUGGGCCUGGCGCUCUUCAGAAAGACCAGCUCUCAGGACUGUUUAGAGCUCCCCUAUCUUUGCGCUUCUGGGUGACAGGAGCUGCUGUUGUGGCUUUUUGAUAAGUUUGAGAUCUGACUUAGUCGAAUGGGGCUGCAGGGUGGUGCUUUUUUGCUCCCAGCUUGUCUGUUCCCCCAACCUUGAGAGAGGUUUUGUUUUGAAACUUUGUCGGGGCUUGGCUGCUUUUGCACGCUUGCCUUCAUGUAUUUUGUGAUUAAAGUUGUUCAGCAAAAAACUUUGCCAGCAUUGGGGACCAUAAUGUGUUAGUUUUGUUAAUGUGGCGGCAAAAUACUGUCUUUGAGUUUUAGCCAACCUCAAUAGUUCCUCAUUCUGGUAGCGUAGCCCUAGCCUUCUCUGGUGAGAUAAGGCUAAGAAAAAUGGGGGCGGGGGACUUUUUGGAAUGUAAAGGAUCAACAAGCCGAAUGUAAAUGUUGAUGAAUUUCCUUCUGCAGACCUUUUCUUAGCUCUAAACGGGAACUCAUUUUGUGAGAGUGGGAGUAAUGUUUCUGAUGUUUUUCUAUUGAUCAACAGUGUUAAACUGUCUUUUAUUAUGAUACACAAGCUUUAUGGGUAGUUUUGCUUAGGUUUUGAUUCUGCUUCUUGAGUUCCCUUGCUUUGAUUUUUCUCCAUGCCCUAUAAGAAAGGCUGGUAGGGCAUUUAUGAAGCUUUAGUGGGGCGAAUUUGUAAAAAGAUACCAGGAAUAUAAGGGAGAGAGGGGGAUCCAUGGUUAAGACAGGAAUUUGGAUAUAAAUUCUUCUGUGCUUUCUUUAGAAGGUGACUGGGAUGGGGGAGAGGUAUGCUUCUUAGAUUCAGUAAUUCACCCUGGUAAGCAAAACGUACUUGAGUUUCACCCUUAUGUGCAUUCUUUGACCAGAGGCAUCCUCAGCUCUCUUUUCAGUUGGGAUUUUAUUUUCUAAUUCUUCCAAUGGUUGUUUCCUCCAUCAGUUGAAUUGCUAAUGAGCUCUGCACCUGAAAUGGCUGCCCAUUCACUUUGUUGUUUGCUGGGCUCCCUAAGGGCAGAGGUGUUUGAAGCUCAUUGAGAUGCUGGACAACAUCUAAGCUAAAUACUGAAUAAUUUUACCACUGGGCACGUGGAACUGGGUUAUCAAUCCGUAUUAAAAAAAGCAAAAUGUUCUUACAAACUGUUGAAUUCUUAUAUGAGGCCAUGAAUUUAGAAGCAAAGGCAAGUUUGAGUUUUGCAAAUACAUUUGUGCUUGUCUUGUACAUAUAUCCAAGGGGCGUUAAUGAGAAAACAGCCAUAACAAAACUCAGAGCCUUUUUAUUUUAUUUUAUUUUUACCAGCUUGCUACCCAAGAAUUGCUGUUAUGUUGAGGUCCUAUUAAUGACAGUGACUAGUAGAGGAUCAGAACUAGCAGUUUUGUUUUCCUUUUUCAUUGAAAUUUCCUUUGGACCCUGGGCAUGUGGACCUUUCCAAUUUGCACCACACACUGUAGUAAACACAACUAUCUUCCAAUCACAAGUGUUCUUCCUGUACUCAACGGUGGAGUUUGCAAGCAGCUGCCUCACGAUUGGACAGAUUUUCUUUCAGUUAUGUUUAAGAUGUUUUCAGGCAUGCUUGGUUUUGAGUAAUACAAGGCAGGGCGCCCCCUGUUAAGGAUGAGUAAUUGAGGGUUGGAUUGAAAUGAUUAAAAAACAUACUUUUCAAUUUUAAUCUCCAUUAAUAUCUUCUUCUAAAUACUUUUUGAUUCUAAAGUCAUUCAAAAUACUGAUAUAUUUAAAGAAACCUUUAUUGGGAAACAAUACCAAACCCAUGGGCUACCUUAAAUGUGAUGUGAAAAAAGUUAAUUCAGGAUGCUGUUGGUUGGGAAUUUUGUUGGUAAUGAUCUUAUAGAUGGCCCUCUUACCCAUUAAAUCUUUCCUGAGAAAUAACUAUUAAGAUUUUUAGCCAAAAAUAGAAAAACACCCCCCACCCAGUGGAAUAACAGCUUUGUUAUUAAAAUUAGGCCUUUUAUGUUUAAAAAGAGAAAAGUCCUGUUGCAGAAAUAAGUUUCAUGGAUUUUUAUGCAUUUAUCCCUGGUUCCUCUCUAAACCAGUUGUCCAGUUUGUGUUUCUAAGUCAUUUAUUGAUUGAGGUAAGUCGUGUAGACCUUGGGAUCUUCACAGUGUGUAGGUACAAUAGCUAAAACAGACAACAAUCCCCCUCCCCCCCCCAAAAAAAAAAACCCACCAAAAACAUGGAUUUAAAUUUUUUUUUUUUUUUUAGUUGUAGUUGGACCCAAUACCUUUAUUUUAUUUAUUUAUUUUUAUGUGGUGCUGAGGAUCGAACCUAGGGCCUCACUAGGUGAGUGCUCUACUGCUGAGCCACAACCCCAUCCCCUGAAUUUUCCUUUUUGUUGAUAUAAAAACAAAACUUGCUAUUUGCAAAGUGUUAAAACGGUUAUUCACAUGAAAAUUCAUCAGUCUCCAUCUCUAUAUGCCCUAGUUUGCUAAAAAGGGUAAGUUAUCUUUACUAGUCUUUAUUAAUACUUAUACAAAAUAUGAAAACGUGUAUACAAAAUAUUGCUUUUUUUUUUUUUAAAGUAAAUGAUACCUUCCUGUACCAUAUCUGCAGGCUGCUUUUUGUUUUUCCUUUCAUUUUAUUUUAUUUUUUAGUUGUUGAUGAACCUUUAUUUUAAUAAUUUACUUAUUUAUAUGUGGUGCUGAGAAUCAAACCCAGUACCUCACACAUGCUAGGCAAGUGCUCUACCACUGAACCGCAACCCCAGCCCUUGUUUUUUUUUUAAUAUUUAUUUUUUAGUUGUAGUUGUUAAUACCUUUAUUUUUUUAUGUGGUGCUGAGGAUUGAACCCAGGGCCUUGAAUGCGCUAGGCGAGCGCUCUACUGCUGAGCCACAACCCCAGCACCCCCAGCCCUUGUUUGUCCUUCUUAAUUUAACAUUAUACCAUAGGCAUUUAUAGUGACAUACUUUAACCAUCACCCCCAAGUCCACCUACCGGCCCCCACCUCAGGAAUCCAGGGUCUCUCAAGUGAGAGGAAAGUACUCUAUAUACUGAGCAAUGCCAAAAACAUUUUUGAUAAGUCCUUUAUAUUCCAUAGAAAGGAUGUACCAUAACUUACUCAUUCUUCCUUUUGGCAAACAUUCAAGUUGUUUAAAAGUUUUUGGGGGCACUAAAAACAAUGCUACCAUUAAUAUACUUGUACAUAUAGCUUUAAGUGAUCUAGAUUUCCUUUUGUAUUUUGGACAUCCACAAUUGGGACAGUUAGGUUGAAUAUAUGUGUUUUGAUGUUGUUUUGCCUCUUUUGUUUUGUUUUCCUUUUGUAGUACUAGGUUUUGAACCCAGGUGCUCUAUUCUACCACUGAACUAUGUCCCCAGUUCUUUUUUUUUUUUUUUUUUAAUUUUUUAAAAUUUUGAGAUGAGCUCUCACUAAGUUGCUAAGGCUAGAAUUGAACUUGUGAUCCUCCUGCCUCUGCCACCUGAAACACUGAUAUGACAGGUGUAUACUAUUGUACCUGGCCAAAAAUGUCUUUUUCUUUUUUCUUUUCCUGUUGUGUGUGUCUGUGCACCUGCACAUACAUGCUCAUGCACAUUGUUAGGGAUUAAACCAGGGCCUCCUGCAUGUUAGGUAAGUACUCUACCAUUGAGCUGUGCCUCCAGUCCUGUAUUACAGGUUAUUUUCCUACACAUGAUAACAUUUCAGCCUCACCAACAGCAAGUGUAUAUACUGUUUCCUUCACCAGUAUCAUCAGUCUUUUUCAUUUUUGCCAGUCUGAUAAGUGAAAAUAGUAUCUAGCAUUUUCAUGACUACUGUUUUCUUUUCCUCUGAGUAUUAACCUUUUAUGUUUCUUUUUUUUUUUCUAUUUUUAAGCUAUUUAUGUGUAUCUUUUGCCCAUUUGAGAAAAAUGUAGAUUGUCCUAUCACUUUAUCAGUUCUGUGCAUGGAUUAAAUUACCUGUCUAUAGAGUGUUAUACUUAUUUUGUCUCAGUUGUUUUUUGACUUUGUUUAUCGGUUUCUUUUCAUACAAAGUCUUUUUCUUAAUUUGUUCUUUUUAGAGAUACAUGACAGUAGAGUGUAUUUUGACAUAUUAUACAUACAUGGAGUGUAACUUAUUCUGAGGAUCUCAUUGUUCUGGUGCAAAUAUAGUUCUUAUUCAUCCGAACAAUAUGCUUGUAAAGGACUUCUCCAUGUUAAAUUUUUAUAUUCUUUGUGUGUGUGGUGCUGGGGAUUGAAUCCAGGGCCUCUUGCAUGCUAAGCAGGUGCUCUACCACUGAGCUAUAUUCCUGGCCCUUUUUACAUUUUAUUAUAUUGAGACAGUGCUUCACAAAGUUGCCCGGAUUGGCCUUGGCCUUAAAAAUCCCUCUGCCUCAGUCUUCGAAGUAGCUGGGAUUACAGGCAUGCACCAAAAUGCCCAUUUUAGAACUCUUCUUCAAAUUUCCUAAUAAUUUCAUUUAUUUUUAUCUUUGGAUCUUUGAUCCAUCUGGAAUCUUGUUUUAGUUGGCAUGUGAAAAGGGGGAUAACUUUUUUUAUUCCUACUAAGUAACCAAUUGUGUCAGCACUAAUUUUUAUUAAAUCUUUCUUGCUGUGUGGUAGAAUUAAAUGAUGCUAUAAGUGCAGCAUUGAUUUGUUUUGAAUGUGUAACAUAGACAUCUAGAACUUGAAAGAGCAAGUGGAAGUAUAUCUGCCUUAAUUUUUUAUCCCUUAAUCUUUCAUCUCCAUUUCAGAGGAAGAGGGACUCUAAAAUAUUCCUUUCUUUUGAUUGGAGAUAAUGCAAUAAUUGUAGCAGUGUUCAGGCUAGUACUGUGUUAUUUCAGUCUGGAAGUUUUCCAAGAGGAAUGAAAGUGUAUCUGCCUUAUUUUUUUACAUCAACCUUUCACUUUGUCUCAGGAUGUAGAAUAGGUAGACUCCAAAAUACCUGUCUACCUUGUUUCUAAGUAAUGUAAUUAUAGUCAUAUACCAUAUUUCUAGUGUAGAAUCCAUUCUUUAUUUUCUACCUAUGUUCAAGCCUAGAAUUUCAGACCUAAUCAAAAUGGAGUUUGUGGCUUUUAAAAUGGUUAUCUUUAAGUGUCCUUUUUUUACCAUUUCAAACGUUAAAUAAAAAUAUGAGUGCUAUACAAGGCCUGGGGUUUGAUUCCCCAGCCCCCCCCACCCCCCCAAUAUACACAUACACACAAAAACAUAUUUGAUAUCAUGACAUCUUAUGCUGUUUUUUAUGGCUUAUAGAACUUUAAAUAAAAAUGAUUGUACUUAUUUGAUGAUAAGAAUGUAUACUAUUCAAUUGUCACCUCCUCUAAGCACAAGUAUCUUAACUCUAAUUUUUUUUCUUAAUUAUUUUUGAGAGAGAUUCUCACUGUGUUGCCCAAGCUGGCCUCUGAACUACUAGGCUCAAGGGAUCCCCCUGAUUCAGUCUUUCGAGUAGCUGGGAGUAUAGGGUGUGCUACCACGCCUGACAAAGUUCAUUUUAAAAAAUAUAUGUUUUUUUUGUUGUUGUUGUUUGUACUGGAGACUGAACCCAGGGGAGUUUACUAAUGAUCAACAUCCCCAGCUUUUUUUUUUUUUUUAACUUUUGAGAUAGGGUCUCACUAAGUUACUGAGGUUGGCCUCAAACUUGGAAGUCCUCCUGCCUAAGCCUCCUAAGUUGCUAGCAUUACAAACAUGUGUUCCCAGGUUUGGCUUUUAUGUGUGGUUUUUAAUAACUCAUGUCUUUUUAAUUUUUAUUUUUUGGGGUGCUGCGGAUUGAGCCCAGGGCUUUGUACCAACCACACACUCUACCACUGAAGUAGAACCCCAGCCCCUAAAAGCUCUAUCUUAAUUUAUCUCUGCAUUCUUCUUCAGGGCUAUACAAUAUGUACACCAAUGAUCAUACUAUACAUUGGUCAUUUUGUCUUACAUUCUCUCUUUUUACUACACGGUCAGAUUUUUCCUCUUAAUUAUCCAUUUGUUUGUAAGAACUUGCUUCACUAACUUCCCACCUGCCUAGGGCUCAUUCCCUAGUAUACUACUUUUACUUGCUUGCUUCUCAUUCCAACCUUUUCUGGUUGAUUUUGUUUUUCCUCUAUAAACAAAUGGUAGGUAAGAAACAUGACAUUUUCUGUUGUUGGUGAUUUUCUUAACAACAGCUGGGGUGGGUUCCUAUAGUCUUAGCUUCCUCAAGGCCUAGGGGACAUAACACCUGUUGUUGCUUCUCAGUUUUCCAUUGCCUUUGACAGAUUGGUUUUUUAUUUUUUUGUUUUUUGUUUUGUUUUAAUUGUAGAUGGACCUUUAUUUUUAUUGGUGCUGAGACAUGAACCCAGUGCCUCACACAUACAAGGCAAGAGCUCUACCGCUGAGCCACAAUCCCAGCCCCUGGAUUGGUGAUUUUAAAACCCUCCCAAAUCUGCCAUCCACCCGUACUGCCAAAAUAUAAAAAAUGUGCCUGGUUGGUUGGUCGGUUAUUUAUUUAUUUAUUUAUUUAUUUGUUUAUUGGUACUGGGGAUUGAACCCAGUACCAAUAAAUAAAUAAAUAAUCACUGAGCUACAUUGCCAGCCCUUUUUUUAAAUUUUGAGACAGGAUCUCACUAAGUUUCUGAGACUAGCCUGGAAUUUACCAUCCUCCUGCCUCAAUCAUCCAGGAUGCUAGGAUUAUAAGUGUGCAGCACCAUGCCCAGCUCUUCCUAAGUUUUUAGCAGUGACUUUCUACUGCUGGUUGUUUAGGUGUGACUUCUCUCAAUUUUGCAAGAGCAGAAACUCCUUUGUGUGUGUGUGUGUAUGUGUGUGUGUGUGUGUCUGUGUGGAAGUAAUAAGGCUCUAGGGGACAGACUCACUAACCAAACCCUCUGGAGACUAAAUCAAAAAUCCAUAUGCAGAGUUAUUAAUUUUCAGUGGGAGAUAUAUCUAUACAGAGACCUGCAUGAGAGCUCACACCUGUUCUACUCAAGAGACAAAUUAUAGAUAAGAAGUAUCCUUGGUGUGCAGAGAGUCAGGGGAGGGAAAAUUGGGUGUGGCAAAAAGGAUAUUUACAGCAGCAGCCCUAUUUGGUGAUUCUCCACUUUCCUGGUAUUUAGGGGCUUCCAUUGCUUUACCAUUUGCUUUUAAUGUUGUCAUCCACUGAAAUCCCAUGAAGAGGAAGAAACCCUGCCCAUCCUUCCAGUCUGUCCAUUUUAGGAGCUGCUGCCUCUAUAAAGUCUUUCUGAGUCCUCACCAUAUUGCUUUUAUUCUUUGCUCCUUUAGCACACUUUUGGACUAUUAUUUUAGUUUUUAUUGUUGUAGCUGUAUAGCAAGAGAAAUAGGUUGCUUAUCUCUUACAUAGAUUGAAAGUUCCUGGAAGACAGAGAACACCUGAAUUUUUCUAGUACUAUUUUAUAAGGCCUUCUCUGACCACCCUAUCUAAAAAAAUAAAAUAUUUAGAAGCCUAUAUUAAGUUUACAUUCACUUCUGAUUUUUAUGGAAUUCUACACCAUGGCCCUGAAAAUAAGGUAUUUAGUCCUUUUUUUUUCUUUUACAUAUUUUUAUUAAUAUAUAGACUUAGCAACUAAUUUUGUCUUGGUGUUAUUGGAUCAUGUUUGGGACUCCAACCCAAGCUACAUUGUCUCUUGUUUUUUGUGAUUUACAUCUGGAUUGUUUUCUUAGAUUGGAAGCAUUUGAUAUUCUAUAUUUCUGAUUCUAAAGUAAUACCUGCCUAUUAUACAAAAUGUAUAAGUCUUUUCUUUUUUAACUUUAUUUCUUUAUGUGGUGCUGAGGAUUGAACCAACCCAGUACCUUAUACAUGCUAGGCAAACAUUCUACCACUAAACCACAACCCCAGACUCACAAAGGGUAGAAAUCAUUUUAACAAUAUUAUGAAGAAAGGGGGGGAAAAAAAAAAACUAGACCCUGUAGUCUCACAACCUAUUAGGAACUACUGUUUAUAUUUUGAUAUAUGAUCUAAUCUUAUUUCUGAAGUCCUUGGUGAAGGCUCCAUCCCAGGUGAUUCCAACAGACCAUGCUUUGCAACCCUUCCCAGUGUGACUGGUAAUCAAAAAAACAGCAGUGAUGAAAGGCAAGAAAAGAGUUUUUAAGCUGUGUGGCUACACCUGAGGUUUUAUAGAAAAAUGGAAGAAAGUCAAGUUUGGGGGGCUUGAAUGCCUGAGGCAUUUAUAUUGAUGGUAUAAUUGGUUGUUCUUGGUUAUUCUUGGUCUGAUUGAUCUUUCUCAUCAAUGCUUGAUGGGGUGAUUUGAUUUGCAUCCUGGGAUGAUUCCUCCUCUGGGGUGCAGUCUCAUUUUAGGGUGAUCUGUUCCUGGGAGGCUUGCUGUAGCUUGGGGAUGGUUUCUACUCCUCGUCUUAUAGGUGCUUAUCAACAAGACUAUAAUUCCUGGAAUCCAAGGUGUAACUGUAGAAGAAAGGGCCUCAGAAGGAAAAAAGUAUAAAAGGCAAAUGGAGUUAGAAAAGGACAAAAUGGAGUUGGUUAGGUCAGUGACUAGGUUCUCCUUCAAUCUUUUUUUUUUUUUUUUUAAAUUUUAGAAAAAGUAUAGUUGAAUUCAUACUGCAUUUCUUUUUUAAAGAGAGAGAUUUUUAAAAAUAUUUUUAUUUUUCGGUGGACACACAUCUUUAUUUUACUUAUUUUUUUAUGUGGUGCUGAGGAUUGAACCCAGCGCCCCGCGCAUGCCAGGCGAGCACCCUACUGCUUGAGCCACAUCCCCAGCCCCUCAUACUGCAUUUUUUAAUUUAGAGAUUUGCUUUUCAUUUAAUGUGGCAAUUAUUUUUAUUAUCAAAAACUUAGUUUAUGGUGAUUUUAACUUUCUUGGUGUUUUUCUCAAUUUUUCACAAAUAUUAUAUUGCUUUCAUUACUGAAAGUAAAACAAUAAAUGCUCUGUAAGAAUAUCUUAUGGCUUCAGGCAUGAUGGUGCACACCUGUAAUUCCAGCAACUUGGGAGGCUAAAGCAGGAGGAUCACAAAUUGGAGGCCAGUCUCAGUAAAUUGGUGAAAUCCUGUUUAAAAAAAAAAAAAAAAAACAUAAAAAAGAGGCUAGUGAUGUAAUUCAGUGGUAAAACGCCCCUGGGUUUAAUCCCCAGUACCGAAAAAUAUGUCUUAUGGCUGGGCAUAGUGGACACAGGAUUCUAAGGCGGGAUAAUGCUAGUCCCCAGAAAUUCAAGGCCAGCCCAUUGCAACGUACAACAUUCGAAAAAGCAAAAAACAAAGAUCUUAUGAAUGUAUUUUUUGGCUCAGUGAUUUAACUUUUUUUUUUUUUUUUUAAGAAUUUUAAUAUUUAUUUUUUAGUUUUCGGCAGACACAACAUCUUUGUUUGUAUGUAGUGCUGAGGAUCGAACCCGGGCCGCACGAUGCCAGGCGAGCGCGCUACAGCUUGAGCCACAUCCCAGCCCUGAUUUAACUUUCUCUUUCAUUAAAUAUUGAAGUUAUUUCAGAUUUUAGGCUUUAUUAAUAAGGUGAUGAUGAAUGUUUUUAUGAGUAACGUCUUUUUAUGAAUUAUUUCAUAGAAUUAUUUUUUAAGUUAUACCAGUUUAUAUCCUUACUAAUACUGUCAAUUUGUUUAAGGAAUGAGUCAUUUUAUCAGGGGCCUAUGUUCUGCUAGGCAUUUAACAGCUUUAUUUAUGUAAUCCCUAUAGACAUCUUUUGAGGUCCUUAUUGUCUCUAUUUAUAGGCAAAGGAGGUGAGGCUCAAAGAGUCUAAUGUAGCCAGGUCAUGGUGGCACAUAGCUGUAAUCCCAGCUGCUCAGGAGGCUGAGGCAGGAGGAUCACAAGUUCACAGCCAGCCUCAGCAAUUUAGUGAGGCCCUAGCCCUAACUUGGCAAGAUCCUGUUUCAAAAUAAAAAGGACUGGGGAUGUGGCUCAGUGCUUAAGCACCCCUGGAUUCAAUCCCCAGUACCAUAAAAAAAAAAAAAAGCUAAUGUAACUUACUUUAGGCUUAGGCUACACAGGUAAUGGAGGAGUUGAGAUGUAAAUCCAGAUCUUUAUGAUUCCACAGCCUCUAAAUCACUAUACAUGUUUGAAUUUUUAUUCAGAUUAUCACUAUACUAUACUUAGCUACUUUACUUUUAAUUUCUUUAGGCUGUUAGAAAAUAGGCAGGGGCAAAGAAGAGGGGUAAUUGGGAUAGUUUGGUAGAAAGUGCUCUUUACCAAAGGCACUCUAAAGAUAAUAUUAUUGAAAAUAAUAAUAUUCUAGACAUGUAUCAUUCCCCAUUUUUGUUGUCAAGAUAUCCCACAGAUUUUGAAAAUUAUUUGUAACAGUUCAUGCUUUUUUUUAGCUUUUUUUUUUUUUUUAAGAAAAUCGGAGAAGUUAGAAACCUCAAAAGUUCAUCUCCAUUGCCUUAUCCUCUGACAAUCAUUGCUAAUACUGUUGUUUUUAUCUCUUAAUUUCUCAAAUAUACUUUUCAUUCCUAUAGUUUUAUUUAGUCUCUUUCUUUCUUUCUUUGGUACCAGGGAUUGACUCAGGGACACUUAACAGCUGAGCCACAUCCCAGCCUUUUUUUUUUUUUUUGAGACAGGGUCUCUAUAAGCCUGCUAAAUUGCUGAGGCUGGCUUUAAACUUGAGAUCUCUUGCCUUAGCAUCUGAGCUGCUGUGAUUACAGGCCUGCAUCACCAUGCCUCACUAAUUUCAUCCUUUAAAAAAAAGUUAAUUGUAUAACUAAUAUAUAAUACACAGGUUAAAGAGGAAAAGAAAUAAGGCCUGAAAUACUGUUAACCAUCCCAUUCCAAUCCUCCUCUUCCCUAUAAUUUCCUCAACCCGGAUAGUCUGCAACUUGCUUUUUUCUCCAAGUAUCUUGAAAAUCUUUUUAUGUUAGUUUGUUAGACAAAUCAAUCAAUUGAUAUAUCUCUCCCUUUCCCUUCCCCCCCUUCCCUCCCCCGCCCCCCCCUCUUUUCAGCACUGGGGGUUGAACCCAGGGCCUCACACAUGUUAGGCAAGUGCUUUAUUACUCUGGCUCAAUAGAUGUAAUUUUUGAAAACUCUGUGUUAUUUAUUCCAUAGUAUUGGUUGUAUCUUUUUAUUCAUUCGUUUAAUUAUGAAUUGCUUUGUAAUUUCAUUUUGAUUUCCUAUUUAAACUGAGGGUUAAGAAGUUUAUUCCCCAGGUGGCAUUAUCUUCAUAAAAUAUUUUUUCCACAUAAUUUUAAAACCAUCAGUGAAACCAUCAGUGGCUCUUUCAAGCUCUAUAAUGGGCAUCAUAUACUCAGAGACAUCCAGUGACUUACAAAGAAUUGAGUGACAGACCAAAGGGUGUAGUGGGACUGACAGUUGGUAGAGAGUGUAGAAAUUGCCUAAAGAUGUUAAAAUGCACUUUAAAAACAAAACAGAAAAACACUGAUGACCAAAUAAGAAACUUUUACCAACAAGUUUCUCCUCCCCCGCCCCCCUUCCCCCCUUCCCCCACCAUACUGUGGAUUGAACCUGGGAUGAUCGACCACUGAGCUACAUCCCCAGCCCUUGUUAUUUUGUAUUUCAAGAUAGGGUCUUACUGAGUUGCCCAGACUGGCCUCGAAUUUGUGAUCCUCCUGCCUCAGCUUUCUGAGAGGGCCAACAAAUUUAAGUUUGUUAUCCAUUAAUGUACUACAGAGCCCUUUUACAGCUUACUUACUAGCCACCUUCCCUUUCUCCCAGAACACACUAUCUUUUAUGUUUCUCUGCCUUUGUCUGUGCUGGAAAAUUAUUCCCUCCUUCUCUGCUAGAAGAAUACAGCUUGUCCUUUAAGACUUGCUAUCAUACUCCUACAUCUUCUGUGAAACUGUUUGAGUUGCCCAAGACAGAUGUCAGUCUAGCCUAAUGGCAGUUUAGAUCUUUAUUACUGCUUUUUAUUACAUAGCUUUGUAAGAAUUUCUGUACCUCUCUUAACUCAUUUGGGGUGAGUCCUUCUUGGCAUAUGCUACCUUAUUUGCCUUGAUAUUCUUAGGCUUGGCAAGUGCACACAUGUAAGGGGCAUUCUGUUUUUAUUGAUUGAGUGAAUAAAUGAAUAAUCUUACUAACGGUAGUAAGAAUGACCUUGUGGAAAGCCAGAAUCCAAACUCAUGGCUACAUGACAAACAUGAAGUCCUAUAUUGCUCAGAUUACUAAUUCCAGAUUUUAUCAAAAAUAAAGGUAAUUUAUUUGAUUAAAAAAAAAAAAAAGGCUGGGAUGGGGCUCAGUUGUAGAGUACUUGCCUAGCAUGCUUGAGGCUUUGGGUUCCAUCCCAAGCAUAGGGGGAUAGGAGUAUAGGCACAGCUUUAUUUCAGUGUUGAUAAAAUUAAUAUAAAUCACAUACAGACCUUAAAGGGAAAUUUGAAAGCACGAGUUUUAAUACUAACUCACCUUAACUCAUGAAAUACUUCAUCUCUAAUCCUUGGGUUCUAUCGUAUGUAUAGUACUAUUUGCUACUUUUAUUCAGACUUGUAAAAAUCAUCUCAAACUGUGUUUGUCGUAUUGUAUUAUCCAUCUCCCUGGUCAUCUCUGGCUGAACAUUAUUUUAUAUCCUUUCUACUUGUCCCGUAUCCUAACCUUCUACCAUUUUGAGAGUCAAACUGUGUUCUAUUUGCUUUAAUUUAAAAUGUUUCUUUACCUUCUGUUUUCCAACUCCUUUUAUUUCUCUGAGAAGAAAAGUAUAAUACUAGAGAGCCAGAAAUCAGUCUUACUUACAUGUUUACAAGUAUCCAUGGUCCACAUUGUUCACAAAACAGAUUCUUAUCAUUAUCCUAGAGCAAUUGCUUGAUCCCAUAAUGUAUAGUACAUGGUUAUUGUCAGUUUUUAAUAAACCCUUAUUCCACAUCCUUUGUCCAGGCAGUUUGAGAUAAUUGCCUUCAAAUUAAGUGAAACAUUUCCUGAUGUUUUCAUCUGUCAUGAUAGAAUUCUGUGUUUAAGUUCUAUGUGGGUUUUUUUUGUUUGUUUGUUUGUUUUUGUUUUUGAGAAGGGUCUUGCUGAGUUGCUGAGGCUGACUUUGAACUUGCUAGCCUCCUACCUAAGCUGCCUGAGUUGCUGGCAUUAUAGAUGUGCACCACCAUACCUGGCUGGAAUUUUAUGACUCCUAUAUUGAUUUAAAAAAAAAAUGGUACUAGGAAUUGAACCCAGGAGUUCUUAACCACUGAGCCCUUGGAUUAUAGUUAUGUGCCGCUGUUCCCAGUUUAUUUUUUGAGACAGGGUGUCUCCAAGGUCCCAAGGCUGGACUUUUAUUUGCAUUCCUCCUGCCUCUUCCAUCUUCGGAGGGGCUGGGAUUAUAGGUACCUGCCACCUUACGUGGAUUCUAUGUUGAGUUUUAAAGUGGUUGAUAGAUUAGAACUCCAGAAUGACACCUACCUGUCAGUUACUAUAGAGCCUCAACCUCUGGUUUUCUGAGUGAUGCCUGAAAAAUAUCGUCCCUCAAGGUUAGAUCCAGCCUAGGCACUGAAUAGUCUAUGCUCCUUUGCGUGGCUUUUCAAGUUCUUUUCUUUUUAUGUUAGUUUGUUAGUUUGUUAGUUUCCAGCAGUUGCUACCUCCUGCCAUCAGUUUGUCUUCAUCUAGUCUCUGGUUCAAAAAUCCAAGUCAUUUUUAUUUUUUUUUAAUUUCAUUUAAUUUUAAAAUUAAUUAAUUAAUUAAUUUUUUGCACUGGGGGUUAAACCCAGGGGCACUUUACCACUAAUCUACAUCCUUAGACCUCUUAUUUUUUGAGACAGGGUCUCACUAAAUUGCUUAGGGCCUUGCUGAAUUUCUGAGGCUGGUCUAGAACUUCUGAUCCUCCUGUCUCAGCCUCCCCAGCCACUGGGAUUACAGGUGUGUGCCACCACGUCAUUUUUAAAUUCUCCCUUCUAUGUAGGCCAGCCACCAAGCUUUGUAAUAAGGCUCAUGGAUUCUUACAAACCUGAGUCACUUCCAUCUUUGUCUAUCCCCACUCUAGAUCACAUAAGAACACCUGCUCUGCCCUGCCCCACCCAGCCCACAAAUGCUUAACCUUUUAAUUGCAGUUGUGUUGGCUUCCACACUCACAAUUUUUUUAAAAAAAUAUUUUUUAUUUGUGCAUUAUAGUUAUAAAUAAUAUUGGGGUUUAUUUUGACAUGAUUAAUACAAGUAUGGAAUAUAAUUUGCUCCAUUCAGUCCCCAGUACCUCCUUUACUCUUCCUUCCUCACUCCCCUUGUUCCCUUUCCUCUAUACUACUUGUCUUUCUUCUAUUUAUUUAUAGUUUUUUUUAAUUAGUGCAUUAUAGAUAUAAAGCUGAAAUUUAUUGUGAUAUAUUCAUAUGUGUACAUAGCAUAGUUUUAUUACACUGAAUUGUUUUUGUUUUUAAAGAGAUGGGAUCUUGCUAUGUUGCCAAGCUCUUGGGCUCAAACAAUUUUUCUGCUUCAGACUCUUUCAUAUCUGGGGCCACAGGCUUGUGUCAUUGUAUCUAACUGUAGUCCCAGUUUUUAGUUUGUGUUGUUUGGUUUGUUUUGCAGUACUGGGGAUUGAGUCCGGGGGUGCUCUACCACAGAACUACAUCCCUUUUUUUUUUUUUUUUUUGGUACUGGGGAUUGUACCCAGGGGCGCGUAACUACGUAGCUGCAUUCCCAGCCCUUAUUUAUUUUUUUAUUUUUUAUUUUGACAAGAUCUAGCUAAAUUGCUGAGGCUGGCUUUAAACUUGUAAUCCUCCUUCCUCAGCCUCCUGAGCCCCUGAGAUUAUAGGCCUGUGUCACCAAGUCCAGCACCUUCCCUUUUUUGAGACAGUCUGGCUAAAUUUCCCAGGCUAACCUUGAAUUUGUGAUUCUCCUGCCUCCUGAGUAGCAGAGAUUACAGGCAUGUGUGAUUGUGCCCUAGCCCAUGGCCUCAGUUUUCAUCUCAGUAUUCAGGUAUUUUCCAUAUCAACUCCUAAUCUUUUAAAUUUUAUUUCCCCACCACAGUGCUAUGUAGUUCCUGGCUAUCCUAUAACUUUACCAAGGCUUUGGUUGGCCUCAGCCCCUUCCAGUCCCUCUGCAUACCUGAAAUGAUUUCUUUACCUCUGAAGCCCACCAUACUUUAUUUAUCUUAUGUCAUAUUAUUGCCCCCAAAGAGCUUUAUAGUUGACUAAAGUGCAUUUGAAUCUGUUUUAUUUAAUUUUCACAACAGUCUAUUAGGUAAGUAAGACAGUGUCUUAUCACAAGUGAGGAAAACUGAGCCAAGAUAUGAUGAGGGAAUAGUAAGUUGCCCAAGUUUUGCAGUUAGUAAAGCAUGGCACUAAGACUCAUCCAUGUCUCCUGUGCAUAAGCCCUAAGCUUUAUAUAAUAUACUUCUACUACCUUUCUGAGUGUCUGAAUCUGAAUGUGCACGUAAAUAUAAGUUUGAAUAUUUCUCUCUUUCCAAUUGACUGUUAGCUAUUUGAAGGUAGGUACUAUGCCUUAUUCCCCUAGAAUAUAUAUGUGUAUAUACGAGUGAGCAUGUUCAUGUCCAGUUCAAUGUUCUCUUUCUCUGUAAAAAUCAGCCUUCCCCUGAGUCGUGCUUCCCCAUUAUUUUUUUUUAAGUAGAUAGGAAACUUACUUUGCAUACAAUAAAUAAUAAAAUUACUAUUUUAUAUAAUGAAUUUAACUUUUGAUCUUUUCAUUAAUAUACUUCAAUUUACAAGGUAUCUGAAGAAAUUGAUUAAAAGCUAGGCUACUGAGCUAUCAUUCUACAUUUUCAAGUAUUAUAAAUAUCAUGAAUUUCUCAUAACUUUAUAAUUUUUAUGUUAGUUGCAUGAGAACAUACCACAAAAGCUAUUAUGAGGGCUGAAGAUACAGCUCAGUUGGUAGAGUGCUUGCCUCACAUGCACAAGGCCCUGGGUUCAAUCCCCAGCACCACAUACACACACAAAAAGCUAUUAUGAAUAGAGUAAAAUAAAUUCCAUUUUUUAUUAUGGGGAAGUACACAAUAUUUUCAUAACCAUUUUAAUGGAUUUAAAUUUUAUUAUAUCACAUUUAUUUAUUUAUUUAUUUAUUUUUGUGCUGGAAAUUGAACUCAGGGGCACUUGACCACUCAGCCACAUCCCCAGCCUAUUUUGUAUUUUAUUCUUUUAUUUAAAGACAGGGUCUCACUGAGCUGCUUAGCACCUCACUUUUGCUGAGGCUGGCUUUGAAAGCGGGAUCCUCCUGCGUCCACCUCCUGAGCCUCUGGGAUCACAGGCAUGCGCCACCACACCUGGCUGUCUACAUAUAUUUUAAAUGGAGGACUGAGGCUAUAUAGCUCAUUGGUGAGCACUUGCCUAUUAUGUGUGAGGCCCUGGGUUUGAUCCCCAGCAUUGAAAGCAAAAGAAAAAAAACGUUGGUUGAAUUUUUGCCCGCUGUGGUUGUAUAUUCCUUAGCCAGCCAGGAGAUUAGGGCAGGUGGAUCACGAGUUCCACUCUAGCCUGGGCAAUGAAUUUAGUUGCAAUGAAAAGGGGAGGAGGGUUGGGGAUGUAUCUCUGUGGUUGAGAGCCCCUGAGUUGAAUCUCCAUUGCUGUCCUUGUUUUUGUUUUUGUUUCCAGUACUGGGGAUUGAACCCAAGAGCACUUUAACAUCAAACUACAUACCCAGUCUGUUUUAUUUUUUAUUUUGAGAUACAAUCUCAAUAAGUUGCUGAGACUGGCCUGAAACUUGUGAUCUUUCAGCCUCAGAUUCCUGAAUUGCUGGGAUUGCAGAUGUGUUUGUGUAUACCACUGCUUCCACAACCAGCAAAAAAAAAAGGAAAGAAAAAGAGAAAAAUGAAAGCUGCUAAUACAUACACAUACAAGACCUCUAGUAUUCCAUCUACAGGAAAUGCUUGGUGCUCCUAAUACUUGCAGAUCCUCUUUGGUAACUCUAAGUUGCCAGUUGGGAUCCAUAUUUGCAGGGAUUCUGAUAUUAUUCUGAAUUACUCAGUGUUACCAUAGGAAAUUUCAUGUGAGAAAUUUCUUACAGAGCCAAGUAGUUGAAAUAGCUUUGCUCCCCUGAAUAAUUGCUUUUUGAAUGAUUUCUUUUUGAAUAACUUGGCUUGCAACUGAGCUUGUCUCCUUUUUCACAUUGGUAUUUGGGAAGUUCAGAACCAAAUAUGUCACUCAGUUGUAGCAAUUGUAUUGAUCUUUUCUGCAUGAUAAAGUUUUUCCACUUUGAUAGUGACUUUCCAUUGUCAUUUUCUUGGCUGUGAUUUUUAAAUUUAUCUUUCAUCAUUUUAGUGCAUGUAUUUCCCAAAAGCCAUCUAAAAUUCUUUAAAGGUGAAUCAGGAGAUAAAUAAAUCUCUAGCCCUUCAUUUGUGACCAUGUUUGGCACUGGACAUAUCUAUUUUAUAUAGUGAUGCCAACAUGUGUAUGUCUUGAUCUUCAUACUGUGUUUAAUUACAUUCAGAAGUGAUUAGAAAAAUGUAGUCUCAGGCUGGAGUUGUGGCUCAGAGGUAGAGCACUUGCCUAGCAUGCUUUUAAGGUACUGGGUUCGAUCCUCAGCACCACAUAAAAUAAAAUAAAGAUAUUGUGUCCACCUAUAACUAAAAAAUAAAUAUUAAAAAAAGAAAAAUGUACUUUCAUUUGCUACAAAUCACUUCCAAGAACUCUUCACAGUAUCAAUUAAACAUAUCUUGAGAAGUAGAGUAUACAUCUAUUUAGGAAGGAAGCAAAACAUUGUGACUACAGCACGCCUUGGCUAGCAUUUAGAGAUUAUUGCUGGCAGUAACAAUUAAUAAAUCCACAGGUGGGUGUGGGAAGACAACUUCUUUUUCUUUCAUUGCCUAUCCUUUUGAAAUUUGUACCAUAUACAUAUGUCACCUAUUCAAAAAACUAAUAAAAUAAUUUCUCAGUCAUCUUUAGUAGAAGUACUAAAAAGUUCUCUUUCUAUUAGACUAUGAGCACUUAAAAAUGGGAGUUCAUAACCCACUUGAAUCUAAUGUAUGAAAUAUGAUAUGUCAGGAGCUUUGUAAUGUUUUGAACAACCAAUAAAAUAUAUAUAAAUAAAUAAAUAAAUAAAUAAAAUAGACUAUGAGCACUUGGAGACUAGGAAGUGUAUGAGAUUCAUCUCAUCAUUCCUGAACCUAGCACAGUAGUUUACACAUAGUAAGCCCCCAGCUUAUGUGUGUAGAUAUGAAUUGGUAAAUGAAAAUUGCAAGUUUCAGUAGGGACAUGACCAGAAAUUACUAAAGAAUUGUGUGUAUAACUCAUGCCCCUUUUAACUCUGUACAUCUGUUUUAGAAUGAGGCUGAAACCAGCUUCCUGGCUUUGAAGUAACAUCUUUUUUUUUUUUUUUGGUGCUAUGGAUUGAACUCAGGAACACCUGACCACUGAGCAACAUCCCCAUCCCUUUUUGUAUUAUAUUUAGAGACAGGGUCUCACCAAGUUCCUUUUGCUAAGGCUGGCUUUGAACCUGCGAUUUUCCUGCUUCAGCCUCCCAAGCUGCUAGGAUUACAGGCGUGCACCACCACACCCUGCUGUAACAUAAUUUUUAUUGGUGCCCUUUAAAAUAACUUUAAAAAGUUAUUUUUCCCAGUCACUUGUUCAAAGUUGUUUUGUUUAUGUGUUACAGUAUGGGAUUUCAUCAAAUGUAUCUUCCAAGCUACUUUUUAUUUUUUCUUGCAGAUCUUUGUAGAAUUUGAUGGCUGUAACUGGAAGCAACACUCCUGGGUUAAAGUUCAUGCUGAAGAAGUUAUUGUGCUUUUGCUGGAAGGGUCACUUGUAUGGGCACCCCGGAAUGACCCAGUCCUUUUGCAGGGCACUCGAGUCUCAAUUGCACAGUGGCCAGCCCUGGUGAGUAGUUUUUAUUAUUUUUUUUUAUUUGGUCCUAGGGCUUAAUUCCAGAGUCUAACUCAUGCUAGCCAAGAUCUCUACUAAUGAGCCAUACCUGUAGCCCCCAAAUCCUGCCACCUACUACCUCAGGUCUGCCAGGGUACUUGUUAGGCAAGUGAUUUCACUGAGCUGUAUAUACCCUUGGUCCCUGAGUGGCCCCUAUUGGGUAGGAACAUAUUUGAGCUUUCCUAACAUAACUAUAGUGUUUGCCCAGUAGUGGAACUCUUUAGAAUUCACAAAACCCUACCUUAAAGUUAUGAAAGUAAAAAUUAAGAGAGAGCUUUUCUCUUCUGUGUUCUCCAAAACACUCUGAUAAUAUUUGAUACUGUUUAUCUCUAAAUAAUUUUUUCACUUUUAGUCUUUUCUCAUAGCAAGAUUUGAAAUAGUGUAAUCCUCAAAAGUGUUUUGUAAUUAAGUUUUGUUUUUUGAAAUGAAAUGAAAUAGUAUUAUAAAAUUCUGAGAGUAUCCAUUUGUUUUUAUCUAUCCUGUUAGAUAAAUGGCAAUUUUUAAAAAAUCCUAAUUCUCCUGUGGCUAAUCAAAUUAAAUAAAUAAUAUUCAAAGCAAAUAUUAUUUGACCUAUUGAUUAUACAUAUUAUUCCUUGCUAAAUUGUCUUUUUCUUUUGUAUGUGUCAGGGGGUGCUGGGUAUUAAACCCAGGGCCUAGCACAUGCUAGGCAAAUGUUGUACCACUGAACACAUCCCUAGCUUUUUCUUUUUUAUGUUUUUAUUAGUGCAUUAUAGUUAUACAUAAUAUUGGGAUUUAUUUUGACAUGAUCAUACAUACAUGGAAUAUAAUUAUCUUUAUUUCAGUCCUUGGUACUUCCCUUUUCCCUCUCUUCUCCUUCCCCUCAUUCCGCCUUCCUUUUUCUAUUGGUCUUCCUUCUAUUUACUUAUUGGUUUAUUUUGUUGGGUUUUUUUUUUUUGGUUUGUUUGUUUUUGUUUUAAUACUGGGGAUUGAACCCAGGGCACCUAACCACUAAGCUACAUCCCCAGCCCUUUUUAUUUUUUAUUUUGAGACAGGGUUUUGCUAAGUUGCUGAGGCUGGCCUGAAAUUUGUUAUCCUCCUGUCACUGGGAUUACAGACGUGUACCCUCAUACCUGUUUUUGUUUCUUUGGUACUGGGGAUUGAACCCAGAGGUACUUUAUCACUGAGUCACAUCCCCAGCCCUUUUUUAUAUUUUAUUUUUAGACAGGGUUUCACUAAGUUGCUUAGGGACUUGCUGAGUUGCUGAGUUUCAUUUUUUGCCACUUUGCCUGGAUUAUUGUGUUUUUAAAUUGGUGCUUAAUAGGUAUUCAUAAAGGGAGAAUUCACAUGGAGUAUUUAUAUAUGUACAUAGCAUAAUUUGGCCAAUUUCAUUCCUCAUUUCCUCCUUUUUCCUGUCCCUCUUCCUUUCCUCUCAACCUCCUUCUGUUCCAUUGAUCUUCCUUCUGUUUUCAUGGAGUUCCCCCCACCCUCCACCUUUUCUUCCCUUAUUUUGCCCUAGCAUUCUCAUAUGAGAGAAAAUAUUUUGACCCAUGGCUUUCUGAGUCUGGCUUAUUUCUUUAUGGCUGAGUAAAAUUCUAUUAUGUACAUAUACCACAUUUUCUUUAUCUAUUCAUCUGUUGGUGGACACCCAGCUGGUUCCAUAACUUGGCUAUUGUGAAUUGUGUUGAUAUAAACAUUAAUAUGCCUGUAUUGCUAUAGUAUGCUGAUUUUAGUUCUUUUGGAUAAAUACCAAGGAGUGGAAUAGAGUGGGUUAUAUGAUGGGUCCAUUCCUAGUCUUUUGAGGAGUCUCCAUACUGCUUUACAAAGUGGUUGUACUAGUUGGCAGUUUGCAGUCCCACUAAGAAUGUAUGCAUUUCCCCAUAUCCUUGCCAGCACUUUUUCAUUUGUUGUUAUUUUUGCAGUACUGCAGAUUGACUGUUUUGUUUUUGUUUUGCCGUGUUGGGGUUUGAACCCAGAGCUUCACACAUACUAGGCAAGCACUCUACUACUGAGCCAUGUCCCCAGCUCUUUUCAUUAUUUAUUUUUUGGUACCAGGGAUUGAACCCAGGAGCACUUAGCCACUGAGCUACAUCCCCAGGCCUUUUUUUUUUUUUUUAAUUUUGACACAGGGUCUCACUAAGUUGAGAGGCUACUCUUAAACUUGCAGCCUUCCUGCCUCAGCCUCCUAAAUCACUGGGAUUAUAGGCAUGUGCCACCAUACCCGGCCUUUUCAGGUAUGGUGAAAAUACCUGUUUUGUUUUUGUUUUUUGGUACUGGGGAUUGAACUAAGGGGCACUCAACCACUGAGCUACAUCCCCAGCACUAUUUUGUAUUUUAAUAUUUAUUUUUUAGUUGUAGUUGGACACAAUAUCUUUAUUUUAUUUAUUUUUAUGUGGUGCCGAGGAUUAAACCCAGUGCCUCAUGCAUGUAUGUAUGUGAGGCAAGUGCUCUACCACUGAGCUACAACCCCAGCCCUGGUAUUCUGGGCAUUUACUGAAAUUUAGUCCUCUUGAAGGCUGAUAAGAUUAGUCAGAUCCCUAAGGAAAAUGAGGAAUUUUUAAUCUCAAUUGUCCUUUUUAGCCAUAAAUAAAAGUAUUUUUUAAAUUUUUAUUUUUAUAUGGCAGUGGAAUGCAUUACAAUUCUUAUUACACAUAUAGAGCGCAAUUUUUCAUAUCUCUGGUUGUACACAAAGUAUAUCCACACCAAUUUGUGUCUUCAUACAUGUACUUUGGAUAAUAAUGAUCAUAAUAGAAGAGUAUUGAGCAAAGUUUUCUACGUUAGUUUGCUUCCUAGGGACAGAUGCUAGGCUAGAAAUGUUUCCAAGGACUUAAACUUUAGUUUAUCUGUAUUUACUAGUGUGAAAAUAUAAAAAUAAUAUAAUAAUGAAUACUUUUUCUGAAGUAGGGAUUUAUUGAAUUGUUAUUGGUUUUCAUUUCCAAGUUCUAAUCAGUUUCUUGUCAUUAUGCUUCACAGACUUUCACUCCCCUAGUAGAUAAACUGGGUUUGGGUUCUGUGGUGCCAGUUGAAUACCUUCUGGAUCGAGAACUUCGUUUCCUGUCAGAUGCUAAUGGGUUGCAUCUGUUCCAGGUACUUUACACUUAACUCUGGUCUUGAGCCUAUUAUUUUUCUCCUUGCUAAUUUCUUUGUUGAUACAAAUACUGGUGUUUCCCUUUUUCUUAGUGUUUCUUUGAUUUCCUUCAAUAAAUUCCCCUGUGCCUUUUAAAGUUUCUCUGCUUCCUUGCAAAGUACUGAGGCUUCUUUCCUUUUCUGUAUAACCCUGCUCCACACUAAAGCCAUUGAAGACUUAAGACCACAAUUCUGAGGGUCCCUUCAGAAGAGGUGGCUUCAUUGAGUUGGUUGCUUCUGUAGUAUGAGUCCUAGGGGCCCUAUGCAUACCUUAGUGGCAUGGAAGUGGGGAGGAAUGUGGAGUGGUUCCAUGCAGUGUGAAGUUUUGAAGAGCUUUUGGUAUAUCUUUAGUUUAAAAAAAAAAUGGGAUAAGUUAAAUAGUUGAAACAAACUAGCUUCUGAGUUUGGGUUUCAGAAUUUAACAAAGUACUGUUUAAUUCUCACUUGUAAGGGUUACUAUCUGAAGGUUAAAAUCUGAGAGACUUCUAAGAGUUUUAUUCUUAUCAAGAAAGCCAAGAACAGUGUUUCCUAAACUGUUUUAUGUAUAUUAAUGUAUAUUUCUUUUUGUUAUAUAGUCCUCAUGAGACCUCACUCUCAACAGUCUUGCUUUAUUCAUCUUUAUAAUCCCAGAGUUUAUAUGAGAAUGGCAUUCAGGAAAUGUUGGAUAAACACCAAAAUAAGCAAAAAGGUUUAUAUGGAGUAAAAUGUUUUGUGGUCAAAUAAGUAUGUGAAACCCUGACUUAAAUAUAUUUCUUUUCUCUAUGAUUUCUCUGAACCUUGAGUAUGAUGUCGUAUACAGAAACAUAUAUAAAUUUAGGCUUAGGAAAUAUCAUGUUCUGCAUGUAGAAAGAUAUAAUAUGUAAUAUUUUCUAAGCCUCAUUUAUACUAGCAUUUUUAAUUCUUGCAGAGAUUCUCAUGAGACUAGAAUUCUUAAGGCAUUUUUAGCAAGUGUUGAUAUAGAACUCCUUGGUAUGUGAUUUUUCUCAUUUAAUUAGAUGUUAUUGCUAUUUAUUUUAACAUUCAGUUGUUUUAUCUUUACCAGAUGGGAACCGAUAGCCAAAACCAGAUUCUUUUAGAACAUACUGCUCUGAGAGAAACAGUUAAUGCUUUGAUCAGUGACCAAAAGCUACAAGAGAUAUUCAGCCGAGGUAAGAACAGGUAGUCUUCUGUCCCUGAACUCUGAAUCAGGUGAAUUGUCAGUUUUGAAUGAUAUAAUGGGACAUCAUGUAGCUUUAAACAUUUGUCCUCAUCCUCUUUUUGUGAGUAGAGACGAAAGUAUCUCCGAUUAGCUAAAUCUCCAAAUAAACUAGAAAAAUAGGAUCUCUCCAAGACCAUUGUUUUCUCUCUCUCUCUUUUUUUUUUUUUUUAAUAUUUUUUUUAUUUGUUGAUGGACCUUUAUUUUAUUUUAUUUUUUGUGGUGCUGGAAAUCAAACCCAGUGCCCUGCAUGUACGAGGCAAGCGCUCCACUGCUAAUCUACAACUCCAGCCCCCCAUUGUUUUCUCUUCAUUGUACUUUUCAUAAACCAUAGUUUUGUUGUAAGCUUAGUUUUUUUUCCCCAUUUUUAAAAUAUUUAUUAAGGACACUAGAAAUAUUUAUUUAAAAACAUGCACUAGAAACAAUGUUAAGGCACUAAUGAUCUAGCCAGUAGCUAGAAAAUCUUUACCUAUUUUUUUUUUUUUUUAAUACACCCAAGGGCGCUUAACCACUGAGCCACAUCCCUAGCCCUUUUUUUUAAUUAUUUUUUAUUUUGAGACAGACUCACUAAGUUGUUUAGGGCCUUGCAAUCCUCCUGACUCAGCCUCCUGAGUUGCUGAAAUUACACACAUGUGCCAUUGUGCCUAGAGCUGACUCUGCUUUUUUUGAAUUUACUAUCUGCAGGUUUCUAAAAAAUCUAGGACUAGCUGGGUGUAGUGGCUUACACCACUAAUUUGGGCAACUUGGACAGCUGAGGCAGGAUUGCAAGUUCCAGGCCUAUCUCAGCAAUUUAGUGAAACCCUCAGUAACCUAGUGAGAUUCUGUCGCAAAAUAAAAAAUAGAAAGGUCUGGGGAUGUAGCUCAGAAAUGAAGCACUCCUGCGUUCAAUCCUCAUUACCAAAAAGAAAAAGCUAAAGACUCUUAACACCAACAUAUAACUUAGAGUGCAAAGUAUGUUCAUAAAACAAUGCAUCCACAGACUUAUUCACAUGAAUAGUAUGCUUUAAGUAUAAAUAAAUGAACAUAGGGUGUAGCUCAGUGGUAGAGUGCUUUUGCCCAACAUGCCAUAGCCCCUGGGUUUGAUCCUUAGUAACAAACAAACAAACAAAAACAGAAAGAAGAAUUAUUAGUUUUCAAGUUCAGAUACCGGUUUUGCCUCAAGAGUCUAUACGAAGAGUAAACUACUUCAUUUAUCCUUCCUUUCAUGUCAUGCAUUCACUCACCUUCAUUUCUGGGCCUUAUGAUAAUCAUUAUUUUUAGUGAAGUAGUGUCCUUGGUUCUAUUUUUGUCAAAUAAAUCUAAACAGGUGAAGUUAAGAAUACUGACCUAAUGGAGAAAAAAAGAUAUCAGGAUAAAAUGAUGUUUAAUAAACAAGGAAUGAUAUAGAGGAAGAAAGAAUGUGAGGAAAAAUUAGUAACAGAAGAAAAUUGAGUGGACAAAAUGAGAGGUGGUGAUAUGUGAGUAUAUACAGAGAAAUUAAGGAAACUUAAUUAUAGCUCUAAGAAAAUAAUCUAAAAUUAGUAAUGCUUUAGCUAUAUAGUCUCAAAUGUACAAUGAUAUGUGGGAGAGAGAAACUGUCCUUGGAAAGACCAGCUGAAAUUGCAGGGUAACAUUACCUGCUGAUAAAGUAAUAUUUUUGAAACUCUGUGUUCCUAGGAAGACAGGUGCUAUAUUUGUUCAGACUAUUAUUAGUGCAGAGGCUAGAAACCUCAUAAAUUGAACUCUCAGCUGUUAUUGAAAGUCAGAUAGCAGAAUGUUAAUGAUUAUGUAUCAUUCCUGUGGUGGUUUAUCCUAAUAGCACAUCCAAUGGGACUGGGGGUUUAGCUUAGUGGCAGACAUGUACAAGGCUCUGGGUUUGAUCCUCUGCAGCACAAAUAAAAAAGAAAAAGAGUACAUUCAACUUAGUGGUCUCCUACUUUUUUCAUACACAUGUCAGGUAUAUGAGUAAAUUUCCAUAUUACUUGUUGUUGUUGUUGUUGUUUUAAUUUGUAAGUUUCUUUCCCUUUGAAUAUUACAAUUAUUAAAUUGUUGAAUAUAGGGGCUAGGGAUGUUGCUCAAUAUCAGAGUGCUUCCCUGGGAUGUAUGAGGACAAGGGUUCUAUCCCAACAUCUCAAAAAGACUCAAUGCUGAGUGUGGUAAAUCUAGAAUUGCUACUUUGUUAGCUCUGUCAAGGGGCAGAUAUUUGAAAGUGCCAAGUAUUUCCAUCAUGUAGUUUUCCUUUUGCUUUCAGAAACAGUUAUGAAACAUAACUUAGCCAAAAAUACAGUUUUGACUGAUCUCUUUUUUAGGUCCCUACAGUGUUCAAGGUCACAGGGUCAAAGUGUACCAGCCAGAGGGGGAAGAAGGGUGGAUCUAUGGUGUCGUAAGUCAUCAGGACUCCAUCACCCGUCUUAUGGAUGUGUCUAUAACUGAGGUGAGGCUGUGUUAAUUCCAUCUAAAUUCUAUCAGUCCCCUUACAGAGCAUGGUGUAAAGAAUGUGAAUACUUUAUCCCUGGCUCUUAUCAUUUAAUGAUUGUAUAACCCUUAGAAGGGGUGUGCAACUUUAUCAUCCCACUGUUCUCAUCUUUAAGUUAGAAGUAAUUGUGUAAAACCCCACUUACCUCACAAUACUGUUUUGAAGACUGAAAUAAUAUAUUUAAAAGUGCUUUGAAAUCUGUAAAACAAUAUGCAGUUGUAAGGUGGUAAUAUUUAUCAUAUUCAUAACAGUUUGUAUUAAAGACCAAUUAGUUAGCAUUGGCUUCUGUAUUACUUUUGCCACUAUAUCCUAGAUGCUGAAAAAAAUUGCUUUUAAUGAACAGAAAAGAACCUAACACCUAAGAGAUACCUGGAGAAUUAUUUAGGAGAAACAGUAGAUGAGUGUUUCUUUUUUUUUUAAUUUAUUUUUUUGGUUGUAGUUGUUAUUUAUUUCUUUCUUUAAUUUUUUUAAAAGUUAAAUAAAUCUUCAUUUAAAAAUUUCAAAAAACAUACAUACAUAAACUAGAUAAUGAAAGCCAACCUUUCCCCUAUGUAAAUGUCACUCAGUGGCAACCACCAUUAACAGUUUGGUAUAUAUUCCAUAUUCUUUUUAUUUUUUGUUUAUUUAUUUUUAGUAUUUAUUUUUAUGUGGUGCUGAGGAUGGUACCCAGUGCCUCACACAUGCUAGACAAGUGCUCUCCCAUUAAGCUAUAUUCCAUAUUCUUCCAAAUAUUUUCUAUAUAUGUAUUUCUGUAGGUUAUAUAGUGUAUCUUAUUUACUUAAUUGUAUAUAACCUCCAUUUUUUUUUUCUUUUUUUUUUUUUUCCUGAUACUGGGGACUGAACCCAGGGGCACUUUACCGCUGAGCUACAUCUCCAGCGUUUUUCUUUUUUGUUGUUGUUGUUUUUUUUUUGUUACUUUGAGAUAGUGUCUUGCUAAAUUGCCAAGGUUGGCCUCAAACUUGCAAUCCUCCUGCCUCAGUCUCCUAAGUUGUUUGGAUUACAAAUAUGUGCCACUAUACUUGGUUUAUAACAAGCAUUUUUAAUCUUUAUUUGUGAAUAUAGAGAUGUGAAUUUUUUUUUUUUUUUUUUUUUUUCUCCUUUAUGGUACUGGGGAUUGACAAUACCCCAGCAGUUCUUUUCACUGAGCUACAUUCUGGGCCUUUUUAAAUUUUUAUCUUGAGACAUGAUCUCGCUAAGUUGCUGAGGCUGGCCUUGAACUUGGAAUUCUUCUGCCUUAGUCUCUCAAUUUGCUGGAAUUAGAGACAUGUGCCACUGUGCCCAGCUGACUUAUUCCUUUAAAAUAGAUGUGUGCUAUUCCAAAAAAUGAAUAUAUCAUAGCUAGUUUAAUCUAAAAUUGAAGGACAUUUAAAUCUUUGCCAGUAUUUUCACUAAUACAGAUGAUGACACAGUGAACAUACUUGAACAUCCUUUCACAUUUAUGAUUUAUUGGAAUAAAUUCCUUGGUUUGUAAUUGCUAAGUUAAAAGAUAUACAUAGUAAAAAAAAAUUUUGUGUGUGUGUUGUUGUACUGGGAAUUGAACUCAGGACCUCAUACAUGCUAGGCAAGUGCUCUACAACUGAGCUAUAUCCCCAGCCCUACACAGUAAAUUUGAUGUUUUAUGUCAAAGUACUCCCUCUCCUAAAGUUUGUAUUCUUUAGUAGUAAAGUAGGUUUGUUUGUUUUGGGUGUUUUUUAUUGUUUUGGUUUUUGUGGGUUUGGGGUUUUUUGUUUUGUUUUGUUUUGUUGGUGGUACUGGGAAUUAAUCCCAGGGUCUCAAAUAUGCUCUAUCACUGAGCUACAUCCCCAGCCCUAUAUAAUGAUUUUUGUAAUGAUUGUUGUUGGUUCUGAAGAUUUUUGAUUUCAUAAUAUACUGAAUAGGAAUGUUUUUGAUAUGGAAUAUUUCAAAUUAAAAUCCCUAAAAGACAUACUUGAGCAUUAAACUCAAUUGUUCCUUUUAUUCAUGAACUUAACAAAUAUAUUAAUGCUCACCAUAUUCCACACCGUGUUUCAGAUAUCCUUACUAUAGCAGUGAUUGAGACAGUAAAUAUCCCUUCUCUCAUGGAGCUUUCUUCUAAUAAGGGAAUAGAAGCAAUAAAGAGAUACUUACAUAGAUUAGGAAAAUGUUAAGUCUUGGUGAAUAAAGCAUUAAAUAAUCUCUCUCCCCCACCCUUUUCCCAUAUGUUCUGCUAUCCUGCUGCUACCAUAGAGUGGUGAGAUCAAGUCAGUAGAUCCCAGACUCAUCCAUGUGAUGCUGAUGGAUAACACAACGCCUCAAAAUGAGGUACAGUAAACAACUGAGUCUCUGAGAAGACUCAUGAGCUUGCAUUUUCUUGUUAUGUGGUUUCCUUUUACAUGGGUGCUGCUUGGGUUGUUCAGAUGGACUGUCUUGGUAAGGGUGGAUGGUGUCAAGAAAGAGACCUAGUUUGAGUAAACCCUUUCAAUUUGACUUGUUCUAUAGUUGUUAUAAAGUCUUAAGUCCUAACUUUCUUUUAUAUUUUCUUAAGUAUAUUUGAAAGAGGUAGUAGUUAAAACUGCAAUAAAUGGUAGUAAUAAUCAUGACCUUACCAGUAACUAGAUAUGGAAGAAAAGCUACAUCCUCUUUUUUCCUAUUAGGUGGCACUGAGCUCCAACAGAGUCUUUUUUACUUUUUAUCUUGAGACAGGAUCUCGCUAAGUUGCUGAGGCUGGCCUUGAACUUAGCAUUCUUCUGCCUUAGUCUCUCAACUUGCUGGAAUUAGAGGCAUGUGCCACAAUAGAUGUAUGCUAUUCCAAAAGAUGAAUAUAUCAUAACUAAUUUAAUCUAAAAUUGGAGGACAUUUAAAUCAUUGCCAGUAUUUUCACUAAUACAAAUGACAACACAAUGAACAUACUUGAACAUCCUUUCACAUUUAUUGUUUAUUGGAAUUAAUUCCUUGGUUUGCAAUUGCUAAGUUAAUAGAUAUACAUAGUAAAAAAAAAUUUUUUGUGUGAGUUAUUGUACUGGAGAUUGAACUCAGGACCUCAUACAUGCUCAUAUAUUCCCAAGUAGAAUCAAAUGAACAGGUGCCUAGUUCAGUGCUUAGCACACAGUGGAUUAUUCUAUAAUUAUAGACUAAGCCAACACUUGGUUCAUUUAGAAUUAUUAUAGCCAAAAAUAAAUAAAUAAGCGCAUUAUAAAUCUUUACCUGAACCAAUAAGGAAUCCUGUGUGAGUAUCCUUCAGUAAAUCAACUGUCCACACAUGCCUCAUAGUAUCUUAUCACCUCUAUAAAUAUUGCUUUCUUGCUGAGUAUAUAGUCCUUCAUCAUCUUUUUUAUUAGUUAUUCUUGAUUUAAAAAAAAAAAAGAUCAGACUAAGAAAGGAAGAAUCAGUAUUAAAUUUAAUAGCUUUUUAUUUAUGUAUUAUAUUAAUCAGGAAUAGGUUAAGUCCCUUGACUAUGUUUACAUGGCUGAAAAACCUGUUACUUUGAUGUUGCAUUGGGCUCUAUUUUUAGUCCAUUAUUUCACUCAUUCAUUAAGCACCUAUUGUAUGCCAAAUAGUAUACAGCUAGCCCAGUAUAACUGAAAAGUACUAUACUCAGUGUCCUAGGUUACUUUCUUGCAUGUGAGUAGUUCAUUAUAAGUUAUUUUGGGAAUGGUUGCUGUGAGCCAGGUUCUUCAAGUUGACUGCAUGAGUUAGAAGUGGAAGUGUGGUUGUUAGCAGUAAAUUUUGAUUUUUCCUUUUUGGCUUUGCCAUGAUGUGACAUCUUCUUUUGUUUGUUUUUUCCCCAGUAUCAGGGAUUGAACCCAGGGGCACUUAACCACUGAGCCACAUCCGCAGUCCUUUUUCGUGUUUUAUUUAGAGACAGGGUCUCACUGAGUUGCUUAGGGCCUAACUAAGUUACUUAGGCUGGCUUUGAACUUGGAAUCCUUCUGCCUCAGCCUCCUGAGCUGCAUGCUCAGGUAUGCGCCACUGUGCCCAACUUGACUUUUAUUCUUGGCUAGCCAAAUUCAAUUACAGUUUGCCAGGUUUUCCAGUAACCCUUCUUAGAGAUCUGUGAUUGCCUCAUCUCCUUUAACAGUGAGUAUAAGAGAAUAAGCAAGAAAGAAAAGAAAGAUUUCAGCUAAGCUCAGUGGCACAUGCCUAUAAUCUCAGAUUUGAGAGGCUGAGGCAAGAGAAUCACAGGUUUGAGACCAGCUUCAGGAUUUUAGUGAAACUCUUAUCAAAACAUAAGUAGGGCUAGGGAUGUAACUCAGAGGUAAAGUGUCCUGGGUUCAAGUCCCAUUACCAGAAAUAAAAUAAAGGACAAAAAAUGCCCAUCCUCAAGUUUACCCUUUUUAUUUAUUUAUUUGGUACCAGGGAUUGAGCCCAGAGGCAUUUAACUAUUGAGUCACAUCCCCAGCUCUUUUUUAUAUUUUAUUUAGAGACAGGGUCUUACUGAGUUGCUUAGGGCCUUGCUAAAAUCGCUGAGGCUGGCUUGAAAUAACAAUUCUCUGCCUCAGCCACCUGUACUUUACCCUGUAAUUUAAGAAGAAAGUAAAAAUAAAAAACUGAUGGUAAUCCAGGUUGAAGAAAAGAUAAAGUUUUAAAAGAGAAUGGAUGAAUUUAAGCUGGGCAUGGUAGUGCAUGCCUGUAAUCUCAGCUACUUGGGAGGAUGAGGCAGGAGGAUUAAGAGUUCUAGCCCAAUUUGGGCAACAUAGCAAGAGCCUGUCUCAAAGAGGAUGAAAUGAAAACAACGUUUAGCAAACAGUUUUUGAAUGAUUUGAAAAACUUGGGUAAUAUUGCCAGAAGUAUGUUACUUAUUAUUAUAUUACUUAAUACUAUAUAUUUAGAAAUACAGAUAAUAUUCAGAAGUAGGGUGGAAAUGGAAGUAAAUCUUGAGCCUUAAGACUUGGGCGGGGGCUGGGAUUGUAGUUUGGUAGUAGAGCGCUUGUCUAGCAUGUGUGAGGCACUUGGGUUGGAUACUUGGCACCACAUAAAAAUAAGUAAAUAAAAUAAAGACUUGUAGGGGAAGCUAGGUACAGUGGUACAAGCUUGUAAUCCCAGGGGCUUAGGAGGCUGAAGCAGGAGGAUCACAAAUUCAAAGCCAGUAUUGGCAACUUAGCGAAACCCUGUGUCAAAAUAAAAAAUAUAAAGGGAUGAGGAUGUAGCUUAGUGGUUCAAUACCCAGUACCCCCCAAUAUAUGGGGGGCUGUUUUAUAUAUAUGAAUGACUUGUAGGGGAAAUUAAAGGAGAAACACUAGAUAGGAAGACAGCAAAAAGGAAAAGUACUGAAACUAUUACUAAGAAGAUAAGAAAUUUAAAAUUCAUAAAACAUUUCCAUUGAAAAGCUAUAGUAAUGAUUACAAGAAAGAAAAUAGAUCUAUAAAUAAUACUGCCCAAAGUAUUAAAGGACAGUAAGAAUAAAUUAAUGAAGUUUAUAAAUAUUAAUACCUAGAUAACAAUGUUUCACUAGCUUAUUAACCAUCUUAGCACAUGUUUUUGAAAUACCUUCUUCAUAUAAGUCCUUGAUGCACAAAAAAGAUUGCUGUAGAGAAUGUUAGCUGCACCUCAUGCCCCAUUCUCCUUAUCCUUCUCAGGGAAGGAGUUUACUCAGAAUGGGUAUUUUCUCUUUUAAUCCAUAUCUUGUCUGGCCUUUCAAAUAAGGUGCAAGUAAAAUUUUCUGAGAUAGAUAGUCUGACAUUACCAGAAGAUAGAAGAGAUUUGGCUUUUGGCCUGUGGUAGCCUGCUUUUUUCCCCCUUUCCUCUGUUUAAUGCUUUGAAAUAAGGUCUGGAGAUCAAUUGAAUCUUUGUAGUGUCUGUGAGCUAUCAGCUUCACUUUUCCUUUGCUCAUAGAUUUACAAAUACUGGUAAUCAAAUACUGGUUUUAGUGACUUUUGGUUAAAAGGAAUUUUGUAUGUUAAUACUUGAAGUACAAGUUUCUGUCAAAACCAAGAGAUAAAGCAAGUUAUUUCCUCAGUGUACAAAUAAGCUUCUAGCCUAGCCUGGCAUUUUAUUUUGUAAAAAUAAGUUCCACAAAUUAUAAAACCCAUCAAAAAAUAAAAUACCAUUUGAAGUAGUUUAUUUAUUGUAAGAGAAGAUUUGCCAAGAGAGUUAACCUCUGGUAACUGUUAUCUUGAAUGUGUGUAUAAAUGGGAUUACAGGGAGAUUGGAGCUUUUUGACAAAGGGUCUUAGAGCUGGCAUCAGAAUUUGGCAAUCUUUGCCUGCUUUUUCUGUUUCUAGAGAUGGGAAAGAGCUAAUGGAUUAUGGUUUUCACAGGAUGAAAGGUCCUUUAUAAUAAAUCUUUUUUGAAUUUUGUUUUGUAGGGGGGUACGUUAAAAGCAGUAAAAUCUUCCAAAGGAAAGAAGAAGAGAGAGAGCAUAGAGGGGAAAGAUGGCCGGAGGAGGAAAAAUGCUUCGGACUCUGGGUGUGACUCUGCAUCAAAGAAAUUAAAAGGAGACAGGGGUGAAGUAGACAGUAAUGGGAGCGAUGGAGGUGAGGCAAGCCGAGGGCCCUGGAAAGGAGGUAAUGCCAGUGGAGAGCCAGGGCUGGAUCAGAGAGCCAAGCAGCCACCAUCUACAUUUGUUCCCCAAAUUAACCGCAACAUUCGCUUUGCCACUUACACCAAAGAAAACGGCAGGACUCUGGUGGUACAGGAUGAGCCCGUAGGUGGGGACACACCUGUACCUUUCACUCCAUAUUCUACAGCCACAGGUCAGACACCUUUGGCCUCAGAGGUGGGUGGAGCCGAAAACAAAGAGUCAGGAAAAACACUGGAACAAGUUGGCCAGGGCAUGGUGGCUUCAGCAGUUGUGGUCACUUCCGCCAGCUCCACCCCAACCACGGUGAGGAUCUCAGACACUGGCCUUGCAGCAGGGACUGGGCCGGAAAAACAGAAAGGCAGCCGGUCACAGGCCUCAGGAGAGGUGAGUUGCUCUAGGGGCAGAUUUGCUAGAUUUGUGUUUACUCUCUCACCCUUCCUUAUUGUUAACACCUUCACAGACAUCUCAAAUGCCCUAAGGAAGGAAUAUUUCUGAGAUAUGCUUAAAUUAUAUUCUGUGGCUAGGCCUUUACUGCUCUCCUUGAGCAAAUGUGUACAUUUUAAUAACUUUAUCAGUUUUUAAAAGCCACUUGAACAUCUGGACUCAGCUGCGCAUACCUGUAAUCCCAUCAAUUUAGGAAUCAGAGGCAGGAGGAUUACAAGUUUAAAGCCAGCCUCAACAACUUAGUGAGGUCUUCUCUCAAAAUAAAAAUUGACUGGGAAUGUGGCUCAGUGGUUAAGUGCCCCUGGGUUCAAUCCCCAGUACAAAAAAAAAAAGUCACCUGAACAAUUGGGCUAAUCAAAAACUGGUUAUACAACCCAAUUUAAUGAGAUUUAAAAUAGAUCUGAUGGGGAAUCUUUUUAAUUCAAUUAUCUAUUUAGUUCACCAAGUAGUUGAACCUCCACCAAAUCUGAGAGGCAAGAUUAAUGAAUUAUAGUGUUGGUAAUAGUGAACACUAUAAUUAAGGCUGUGAGUCCAAGCUACCAUUACCCUAUUUUCAGUUCAUCAUUUUCUGUGAUAUUUUCCCUUGAGUCUAGGUUACUUUCCAUCGUUUAGUAUGGCCAUAAAAGUUUUUCCCUCACUAAUUUCAUUCUUUUAAUAAGCCUUACUUGAUGGAUUUAAUCAUAACAGUUAUUGCUUUGGUCUUUAUCUGAUAGGAUUUUUUUUUUUUUUUUUUUGCUAAAAUGGAACUUUUGUUAAAUGUAAGUUAAUGUCAAGUUGACACUGCAAUCCAAAUUUAAGACAGUAUCAAAAUCUAUUCUUUUGGUACUAGGGGCUGUGGCUCAAUGGUAGAGCGCUUGCCUGGUACGUGUGAGGCACUGGGUUUGAUCCUCAGCACCUCAUAAAAAUAAAAACUAAAAGCCAGGCAUGGUGUUGCAUGCCUGUAAUCCCAGCGGUUUGGGAGGCGGAGGCAGGAGAAUCACAAGUUCAUAGCCAGCCUCAGCAAUUCAGCAGGGCACUAAGCAACUCAAUGAGACCCCAUCUCUAAUAAAAAACAAAAUAGGGCUGGGGAUUUGGCUCAGUGGUCUAGUGCCCCUGAGUUCAAUCCCUGAUACCAUAAAUAAAUAAAUAAAUAUGGGGGGGGUUUUUGUCCGUCUACAACUAAAAAAAUAUAUAUUUAAAAAUUGAAUUUCUUACUGAUUUUGGUCACCAAACUGAUUCACAUAGGCCAACUCAAGCUAGAGUAUGAAGUGAAAAGAUGAAAUGCAUAAUGAUUUUUUUAAAGUACAUAAGCCAGCCAUGGAGGCACGUGCAUAUAGGCCCAGCUACUCAUGAGGCUGAGGCAGGAGGAUCAUUUUAGCCGAGGAAUUUGAGGCCAGCCUGGACAACAAUGAGACCCCAUCCAAAAAAAAAAAGCAAAAUAAUAUAUAGGAAACUACUGUGUGCUAAGUACUGUGCAUUAUAAAUAUUUUAAAUCACUACUUAAAGGAACCCACACACCAAAAUAGGAUAAUUUCAGGUAUAACAACACAGAUAAAGCAUGACAUAGGACUGGGUGAUAUGGUUUAAUAGAAAAAAAUCUUGCCUAGCAUGCAUGAGGCCUUGUGUUUGAUCACCAGCCCCACAAAGAACAAAACAAAGCAAACAAAAAACCCAUGGUAUAUAAAUUUCAUCUGACUAAUUCCUAAUUCUAGCAAAUACAAUGUGUUAACCCCUAAUAUAUAGGAAUAGAGAGCGAGAUGAAAUGCCUAGGUAAAAGAGGACUGUAAAUGCAAAUUUCACACUGUUUAUGAUUUUUUCCUCAGUUAGUUGACCUAUAGUCCCAAAAGAACCAGGUGAGGAUCAUAGAUGAGUUUCCAAUGUGUAAAAAAAAAAAAAAAAAAAUCUUCAUAAUUUCUGCACCAUUUAAAAUCAACUCUGUGUUAAGGCAGUAUGAAUGUAAAUGAGAAUUACAAAGUAAACCAAAUUUGUGACCUACAAGAAAAGAUCCAGUGAAUGUCACUGUUCUUGGAGUAGCAAAGCUGAUAGAUGAAAUGUGGAGUCAAUAUUUUUUUCAAAUAGGUUGUAGAAACUUCUGUGAAUAUCAUUUUGCUCAUGUUUUAGCCUCUUUCUGCAGUAUGAUUUAAAAUUACAGACAUGAAUGUUUCUGUUACAAUUCUUAAUCUGAAAUAGAGAAAUAGUUACCAGGACUUUCUUGCCCUAAAAGCUGGAGUUGAAAUCAGUUUGUCAUCGCUUUCUUAUAAGGAAAGGAUUUGGAAUUUGAUCAUUUAAAAGAAAAUGAAAGACCAUCCAAAUUAUUUUUCAUUCAUGUGUGUAUUUAUUUUUAAAGGAUAAUGUUAGUAGUAAAACAUGAGCUACUCGUGCAGGUUUCUUGCAGUCAUACAGAUGUCCAGGCUCUGAGCCAAUCCUGCUAGUGAAACAACAGCAAAAUCUCAGGGCUGUGUCAGUCUUAUUUUGGGUGGUGGGGGCAGGGGGGCAUCUUAAAUCAAUGCUUUUGUAGUUAGUAAGAAAAAAAAAUGAACUUUAAUUUUUUAACUCUAAAAUCUGUCAACAGAUGUCAACUGCAAGCAAGCCAUAGGAAGUGUCCCUGGUUCUUCUCCUUCUAUGUCACCUUUAAGGAUAUUUAGCAUUGUAUCAUUUUAAAAUGUAUGAUUCUUUGGCAUGUAGUACAUUCACCAUGUUAUAAAACCACUACCACUAUGAGAUCCAGAAAUUUUUCUCCUUUAAAAUAAAACCCCAUAUUCAUUCAGCAGUGAUGGAAUAAUUUUUUAUUUCCAAUGUUUACAAAUGAAUGUUUAGGUAUCAUUCUCUACUACUUGAAAGUUGGUUGGUGUUUUUGUUUUGUUUUGUUUUAGUUAAUCUACAUUUCAAGUCAAGUGCUAGGAUCUGAGUUUUAUUAAAUUAACGAGUACUACAUAAGGGCUCAUAGCUACCUAAGAGUGUCUCUGUGUGUGCAUAUGGGUACAUAAUGUAUAUGAAAGUGCCCCUACCCUUAUUUAUACAUAUAUUCAUUCACAUGCAGAAGUUAACAUGGGAAGCAUUAUAUAACAUUUUAUUUUCCAAUUUGUUAGGCUAAGUGUUUUUAUUUGGUGAAUAUUUCAGUAAUGUACAUUUUUCCUUUGGGGACUUUUGUUAGAUCAUAAUUAUAACAGAAGAUCUCAAUGGAUAGCUUUCUUUAUUUUAGCAUCUUUAGGAGUAAUAUUAAUUGCAAAUUUUAGGUAGAUUUAAACCAAUAAAUGGCCAGUUUCCAAAAGGAUCCUUUUGUGGAGUUUCAGAUUAAUAAAGAUACUUUUUCUUUAAUAAGUGGGCUUAUCAUAGAAGUGAAGUUACUUUCUAUAAGAUGAAGAUAUUUGCAAUAGCUUAAAUAAAUCAAAACUUUGUAGUUUCUAAGGUCAUUCAGAUAGAUUGAUAUUACAGAGGUCACUAGGUAAAUUUCAAAGUAAAAGCUGUCAUCAGGAAUCUUCCCACAGUUCCCUAACAGAGUCUCUGUUUUCAAAUACUGUAAAUACUAAAAAGCCUACACACCUUUCUAGAACUGACCCAUUGGGUAACAACUAAAGGAGAGGCAGGUUGAAUGACAUCUCUGGCUCAUCUUGCUAGAGUUAAAAUGCCCUCUGUGGUUUAUGGCAAGUUUUUUCCCUUCCAUUGCUGGUGAAAUCCAGAAGAGCAAAUAAGUAGAAUUGUAGGAGAGAAAAGUUGAUUGAUCAAUUGAUCAAUAAUAAAUAUUGAUUCAAUGAUAGGACAAGAAAGAGCUCAUUAGGUUGUCAUCUGAAGCCAGUGUCACUAAUUCAGGCUAUCUUCCUUUCAGAAUUCAAGAAAUUCUAUUCUGGCCUCUUCUGGAUUUGGAACAUCUCUCCCAAGUUUAUCACAACCAUUGACUUUUGGAAGUGGAAGGAGCCAGUCCAAUGGGGUUUUAGCUACAGAGAACAAACCUUUGGGCUUCUCUUUUGGCUGUAGCUCUGCUCCAGAGUCUCAGAAAGAUUCUGAUCUCUCCAAAAACUUGUUUUUUCAAUGCAUGUCCCAAACGUUACCCACCAGUAACUACUUCACUACGGUUUCAGAGAGUUUGGCUGAUGAUUCCUCUAGUCGGGACUCAUUCAAACAAAGCCUUGAGAGUCUGAGCUCAGGCCUGUGCAAAGGCAGAUCCACUCUUGGAGCAGACACUAAGCCAGGCUCUAAGGCUGGCAGCGCUGUGGACCGGAAAGUGCCUGCAGAGUCCAUGCCCACCCUUACUCCAGCCUUCCCCCGGAGCCUCCUAAAUACCCGCACCCCAGAGAGUCAUGAAAAUCUAUUUUUACAGCCCCCUAAACUGUCCCGAGAAGAGCCUUCUAACCCUUUCCUGGCAUUUGUGGAGAAAGUUGAACACAGUCCUUUCAGCAGCUUUGCAUCUCAGGCAUCAGGUAGCUCUUCCUCUGCUACCACUGUCACCUCCAAGGCAGCAACCGGCUGGCCCGAGCCUCACUCGUCUGCAGAUUCAGCAUCUUUAGCAAAGAAGAAAACCCUCUUCAUUACAACUGAUUCCUCCAAGCUGGUGUCUGGUGUUCUAGGCUCAACUCUUACCACUGGGGGUGCAAGCCUCUCUGCCAUGGGGAAUGGCCGCUCCAGCUCACCCACCAGUAGCCUCACCCAACCCAUUGAGAUGCCUACUCUCUCCUCAAGCCCCACAGAGGAGAGGCCAACUGUGGGACCUGGGCAACAGGACAAUCCCCUCCUCAAAACCUUUAGUAACGUCUUUGGCAGGCACUCGGGCUGCUUUCUGUCCUCCCCAGUAGAUUUUUCGCAGGAGAACAAAGCUCCUUUUGAAGCUGUGAAAAGGUUCUCACUGGAUGAGCGAAGCUUGGCUUGCAGACAGGACUCAGACUCUAGCACCAACAGUGACCUGUCAGAUUUGAGCGACUCAGAGGAACAGCUGCAGGCCAAGACAGGCCUGAAGGGGAUUCCAGAACACCUGAUGGGGAAGCUGGGCCCCAAUGGGGAGCGUAGUGCGGAGCUGUUGUUGGGCAAGGGCAAAGGGAAACAGGCCCCUAAAGGCCGACCUCGGACUGCACCCUUGAAAGGUGAUCCUGCUAGGGACUAUACGUGGGCUUUGCUCUGGCACUUGCCUCAAAAUGCUUGUGCUUUUGUGCGGCAGAUGCCUUCAUAUUGAUGGAAAGUUCUAGAAUCUUAUAGAAUUAU